ACGUAGGCGGCAAGCGUUGUCCGGAAUUAUUGGGCGUAAAGGGAGCGCAGGCGGGAAACUAAGCGGAUCUUAAAAGUGCGGGGCUCAACCCCGUGAUGGGGUCCGAACUGGUUUUCUUGAGUGCAGGAGAGGAAAGCGGAAUUCCCAGUGUAGCGGUGAAAUGCGUAGAUAUUGGGAAGAACACCAGUGGCAAAGGCGGCUUUCUGGACUGUAACUGACGCUGAGGCUCGAAAGCUAGGGUAGCGAACGG
rnacentral:rRNA from 1 species